AGCAUCUAUCCAAACCGCCUCAAG
rnacentral:siRNA from 1 species